CCCACUGCCCUGUAUGUGAGGCCAAGACAGCACCAGGCUCUCGGGUAUCUGAACUGAUCCAGAGGGACCUGCACAGCUGGGUCAUAUGAGUGGACAACAGCUGGCUGCAAAAUGAAGCAAAAGCUGUCUCAUUUCAAGGGACCAAACUGAUUGUCAUCUGGGCCUCCAAAUCUCACCACCCUGUCAUGCGAGAGCAUGACACACAAAUAAACCUGGACAUCUCAGUCUGGAUGCUUGGAAGUGGAAGGCAAAGUCUCACUGCCACUGCUAUCACAUUUCCCAGCUGCAGGAAGCACCACCCUGGCAUAUUGCAAAGGCAGCAUUGCAUUGUCAGCUACCUUAAGUUAAAGGUGGCCUCACACCAGGCUGGACUUUGGAGCACCUACUAACCACACCCCAGCACAGCCAACAGCAGGGCCUGGCUGAUCCUCACUGGCCCACGA